GACGAACCGUGCGAACGUUGUUCGGAUUCACUGGGCUUAAAGGGCGCGUAGGCGGACGGUCAAGUCGGGGGUGAAAUCUUUCAGCUUAACUGGAAAAGUGCCUCCGAUACUGAUCGUCUCGAGGGAGGUAGGGGCAUGUGGAACUUCCGGUGGAGCGGUGAAAUGCGCAGAUAUCAGGAGGAACACCGAUGGCGAAGGCAGUGGGCUGGGCCGGCACUGACGCUGAGGAGCGAAAGCGUGGGGAGCGAACAGG
rnacentral:rRNA from 1 species